rnacentral:misc_RNA from 1 species
UUUCCGUAGGUGAACCUGCGGAAGGAUCAUUAUUGGAUUUUGAAACUUCAGGCUGCUGCUGGCUCUCCUCGGAGGGCUUGUGCACGCUUGUUGUCCAUUAUUUCUCCCACUGUGCACAAAUUGUAGACCUUUCAGUAGGCCUAUGUUGUUUUUCACAAUCUCUGAAUGUAAUAGAAUGGUUUUGAAUCUUGGGAAAUACAAUACAACUUUCAGCAACGGAUCUCUUGGCUCUC